AUUGAACGCUGGCGGCAGGCUUAACACAUGCAAGUCGAGCGGGGUGAUGGUGCUUGCACUAUCACUUAGCGGCGGACGGGUGAGUAAUGCUUAGGAAUCUGCCUAUUAGUGGGGGACAACAUCUCGAAAGGGAUGCUAAUACCGCAUACGUCCUACGGGAGAAAGCAGGGGAUCACUUGUGACCUUGCGCUAAUAGAUGAGCCUAAGUCGGAUUAGCUAGUUGGUGGGGUAAAGGCCUACCAAGGCGACGAUCUGUAGCGGGUCUGAGAGGAUGAACCGCCAAACGUGGGAUGAGACACGGCCCAGAAUCCUACGGGGGGCAGCAGUGGGGAAUAUUGGACAAUGGGGGGAACCCUGAGCCAGCCAUGCCGCGUGUGUGAAGAAGGCCUUUUGGUUGUAAAACACUUUAAGCGAGGAGGAGGCUCUUUUGGUUAAUACCCAAGAUGAGUGGACGUUACUCGCAGAAUAAGCACCGGCUAACUCUGUGCCAGCAGCCGCCGUAA
rnacentral:rRNA from 1 species